AGUGAACGCUGGCGGUAGACCUAACACAUGCAAGUCGAACGGCAGCACAGUAAGAUUUUGCUUUUACGGUUGGCGGGUGGCGGACGAGUGACGCAUACAUCGGAUACUUCUUUUUCUGGGGUGAUAACGUAAGACCACUUCCGCUAAUACCUCAUAUUAUCAACCGUUGAAAUCAAAAGUUCUUGUCGCUUUUCGUGUUUCUACGAGCCGAUGUCGCAUUAGCUAGUUUGCGGGGUAAAGUCCCACCAAGCCAACGAUGCGUAGCUGGGCUGAGAGGAUGAUCAGCCACACUGGAACUGAGACACGGUCCAGACUCCUACGGGAGGCAGCAGUAGGGAAUAUUAGGCAAUGGGCGAAAGCCUGACCCAGCCAUGCCGCGUGGGUGAAGAAGGGCUUCGGAUUGUAAAGCUCUUUUGUUGGGGAAGAAAAGCAGCAGGUUAAUCCCCCGAUGUGCUGACGGUACCCAAAGAAUAAGCACCGGCUAACUUCGUG
rnacentral:rRNA from 1 species